CUCAGAAUCAACGCUGGCGGCGUGCCUAACACAUGCAAGUCGAACGAGAAAGUGGAGCAAUCCAUGAGUAAAGUGGCGCACGGGUGAGUAACACGUGACUAACCUACCCUGGAGUGGGGGAUAACUGAGGGAAACCUUAGCUAAUACCGCAUAAUACCUACGGGUCAAAGGAGCAAUUCGCUUUGGGAGGGGGUCGCGGCCGAUUAGUUAGUUGGCGGGGUAAUGGCCCACCAAAGACAGUGAUCGGUAUCCGGGCCUGAGAGGGCGCACCGGACACACUGGAACUGAAACACGGUCCAGACUCCUACGGGAGGCAGCAGUGGGGAAUUUUGCGCAAUGGGGGAAACCCUGACGCAGCAACGCCGCGUGGAGGAUGAAGUCCUUCGGGACGUAAACUCCUUUCGAUCGGGACGAUAAUGACGGUACCGGAAGAAGAAGCCCCGGCUAACUUCGUGCCAGCAGCCGCGGUAAUACGAGGGGGGCGAGCGUUGUUCGGAAUUAUUGGGCGUAAAGGGUGCGUAGGCGGUUUGGUAAGUCUUAUGUGAAAUCUAUGGGCUCAACUCAUAGACUGCAUGAGAAACUGCCGGGCUUGAGUGUGGGAGAGGUGAGUGGAAUUUCCGGUGUAGCGGUGAAAUGCGUAGAUAUCGGAAGGAACACCUGUGCGAAAGCGGCUCACUGGACCACAACUGACGCUGAUGCACGAAAGCUAGGGGAGCAAACAGGAUUAGAUACCCUGGUAGUCCUAGCCUUAAACGAUGAUCGCUUGGUGUGACGGGUACCCAAUCCCGCCGUGCCGUAGCUAACGCGUUAAGCGAUCCGCCUGGGGAGUACGGUCGCAAGGCUGGU
rnacentral:rRNA from 1 species